rnacentral:tRNA from 1 species
AGAAUUUUAAGUUAUUUAAACUUUUUGUUUUCAAAACAAAAUAUGUCUUUAGUGGUCAAAUUCUG